GGGACGGUUCGAGUCCUUCCUGUCCUCUCGGAGGGUAGGUACCGGGAGUACCACAGGUGGAAACUGUUCUCGUUAGAAGGUCCCCGGGCCUCCUCUCUUACCCUCUACACUGUCCAACAAACACGGGCAGGUACCGGCACGGGACAACUGACAACAGUGGGUGGUGGUCUUCUUCUUCUUCUUCUUCUUACCUCAAACACACACAGACCUAGCCUCCUAAAACUCGACCACUCUCUCCCUCCACCUCUUUAAUCCCCCUCCUUUCGCAUCGCAGCACCCUCUCCCUGCCUAGGUAAAUCUCCGCGCGAGGGAGAAAACCGACGGAACCCAACCCAACCCAACCCUUUCGUCCCUCCCCUCCUCCCACCACCGGCAGGUAAGACGACCACCGGCAGCGGCGGGCGGGAACGGAGGGGCGGAAGGAGAAGGUUAUUAGGAGGGGUUAGAAGUAGUUGUCAAAGUGUUCGGACCAUCAGAAGGUUGUACCGGAGGUUCGAGUCGAAGUUCUCUUACCUGUCGUAGCGACUUUGGUACGGACUACGCGACGUUGUUUCGGCCAUGGUCUACUUCUCCACGAAGGUUUCCAUACAUAGCUUCCCGUCCUCCGAGAACUUCUUGGUCGUCGAGCACCUCCUCGACCUUUUUAGUGAUCUACUGUUUCGACUCUUCCUUUUCGAACAACUUCCGAAAGAGCCAAUGUAAUAAACAAGCUGAGUCCUUCGUCAUCACGAUGGUGGUAAGCAACGGAAACGACAAUCUUACUUAGGACCGUAGACCCUUAUGCAGUUUCAAGUAAGGCUACUAGACAGCCAGCUUCCUUAAUGUGGUAGUCUCAUGGAAUUCAAGUUUCUCUGGAAUAUACUACUCUUUACCCGGUUCCUAUUGUUAAGCAACCUUCAACUAAAACCACGAGAACUGGAGAGUUGUGGAGUAGACUGCGACGGGAGCAGUUAUCCCUUGCCCUACGUCAAAUAGAGGUUUAAGUACAGAAGUUUCGACUUACUGUUCGGACUUUCGUACUUCGGCAACGAUCUGAUAAACGAGUGAGACUUAAUGGCGCCGCUCUUUGACUACCAAUUGCUGUGCUAGUUGUGCCACCUGUUCGAAGUCUGUCGCGACGAGGAACGUCUUCAAAAACAGUCGCCCGACGGUUUUAAGUGUGGUAUAAACUUUAAACUUGUCUCUAAAGUCCUCACCCCUAACCUCUUUCCUACCCCACUCUUGCGUCUUUCCACGUUCCUCUGAGACUUAAAGGAUAGACUUCACGAGGUCCGUGGUCUAGGAUAGUUGUACCUCUUCAAGAAGUCGUCCCAGGGUAGGUAUAAAUUGUAGCAACAGAAGAGGUAGGUACCAAUGAAACCGGUUCUCUUCCAAGAUCCUAACGGUCUGUGGCCCCCAGUCCAACAGAUGUAGGACCUGGUUCAGUCCAGGUACCUUCUCCUCGACGACGUCUCUUAGUUCGUCGUCCCAAACGUAUAUUGUGGUUUCUAAGAACACGAUUGUUCUGACUAUGGUCUAAGGUUUCCGUGAUUUACAUUACACCUCGAGCUUGGCCAACUUUUAUGCUUUAUAAGUGUGUAUGAUGCACACGGUAAGUUCUGACUUCUGCCCUUCCUAGACGCGGUCACCCACAGGGCCAAACUGUAAAUGGGAAUGGACCUCUCUAUAUGAGUCCUACGAAGACGGUUUUAGGAACUGUAAGAUCUCCCGUUUGGUCUGAACUAGUAACCGUUGAUGUGACUACCUUUGGACCACCGCAGGGAGUACAGCUCGUUUGAGCCUCAGUGUGUCCCUUGUUAACGUGUACGAGAGCUCUUCUGCUUCAUACUCUUGAGUCUACGAUUCACCUCCCUCGACCUGGUUUUUAUGGUAAAGAGGACGGUUAAGUGACGACUAUACUAACGGUACUUGUGAUGACUAAAAUAGUAGUGAUCGUGUAUGGUUCUUUAACGACCCUCGUUUCUCUUCGGACCAGUUAUACUUGUGGUGAUGCGUAAGUGUUACGGGCCCGAAACGGCGAUGCGGUGCCCGUAGUUACAGAAACUAGGCUUCAAGUUGUAACGACGGGGACCACGGCUAGUCAGGCAGAUGAAGGGGAUGUGUGUCUUCGUCUUCGCCGAAUGUCCAAAUGUGGGUGUCUAACUCCUCAAUGACAUGUCGUUCCUCCUAUGUCUGCUUGUGUAUCCCAUAGACCGUCUGUUUUUAUUCGGUUAGUAAAAGAGCUACCGUUCCGAUCUGUUCCACUUCUUGUAGUGACCUGAUCACCUCACCAUACCGGUCUUGUUCUUCCAGUCCCUGGAACACUUGGAGCAGCAGCAGCGUCCGGAGGACUUACGACGUGUCAGGUUCCUGGCUCUUCUCUAUCUGCUCUAGUUGUUCUACGUGUUAAACUAGCUGUUCAUGGUCGACUUUCCUGUCUAGGCCACCUAGUUCCGAGUCUGACUGGCACAGGCAUUGCCGCUCGACAUGGCAAUGUAACGUCUAUGUUUCCCACGUAAACAAGUCGGACGUGAGAUACUUCGUAAACCCGAUUGUCAGUAGCUCCGCUACUUGACGCCAGACGGUUGGAAGCGCUGUUUGGUCCCUCCCGGUCGCCUCUAGUAACAGCUGCCCCAGAGUCCAAAGGUGUAUUUGGGCUACUUGCCGUCCCUCCGACCGUGGUUCUAACGUCUGAAGAAGGUCUUCACGUUCCUUCUGGGUUCGAUGACCUUGUUCCACAGGUGACGACCUGAAGUCGCGUAGAUGCUUACGAUGUGUACCUUCUAUAUACGUUGAUUUCACGACUUGUACCCUAACUACAUACCGAAGACCUCCUGAGACUUGUUCCUCCUCUCUCGCCGGUUUGUCGCCAUGGACGUCUACAAGAUGUUAGAAGUCAUGUCCUUGGACCACUUCUGGCAGGGGUCUCAUCCCCUCGUCGGGGGCUCUUGGCGCCGGAGUUGGAGCUGUCGUCCGCGGCGCCACCACGCACUGCUCUAGCAUCACUCCGGCUUUCUUUCUUUCGGCGCCUUGGCCUAGGUCUCCUACUACUGGUCGGAUGAGCCCGGCUUCGCCGCGCGAUUGUUUACUAGUCUUGUCGAUGUACUACUCGGUACUGACACAAGACUUCGUUUUACAAGCGACGAGUCAAGCAAGAUAGUCAUGGUCUAACACUUCACUGACCACAACUCCUAACCUUCUAAGAAAAUAACACAAGCAACAACUAUUUAACCUUUGUACAUUGUUUCUACUUUAACGGGUACCGUCGUUCACACAGAAGGACUAACCUUAAGUUAUAGAAUAUUCUUGAACG
rnacentral:rRNA from 1 species